rnacentral:rRNA from 1 species
UACGAAGGGGGCGAGCGUUGUUCGGAUUUACUGGGCGUAAAGGGCGCGCAGGCGGCUAUCCAAGUCAGGCGUGAAAGCCCCGGGCUUAACCUGGGAGGUGCGUCUGGGACUGGGUGGCUAGAGAUCGGGAGAGGAGAGUGGAAUUCCCAGUGUAGAGGUGAAAUUCGUAGAUAUUGGGAAGAACACCAGUGGCGAAGGCGGCUCACUGGCCCGUAACUGACGCUGAGGUGCGAAAGCGUGGGGAGCAAACAGG